GGGGAAUUAAUUAAAGUUUAUAAUGUUAGUAUGUCAUAUUAAAUUUAUUAGGUUGUCUGGUAUUCUCUU
rnacentral:tRNA from 1 species